UUUCUAUUGGAGAAAUGAAAAGGAAAAUAAAAAUUAUGUUAAGAAAGGGGCUCUAUUAUUUUUGGUGCGAUUUGAGGGAAAACACUAAUAUUGUUUUUGUGGUGCACUUUUUAAACCUUUUUCAAACGAGAGUAUCGCUCUCCGCUUCCGUGUCAACCAACAUCUUCACAGCCAGGCAUAAAUUCAGUGUGAAAUUCACCUUCUGCAUCUUUGUCGAUUCACAAGUAAUAGCGACUUUUGGGACUGAGAUCCCUGUGACGGAGCUUCGUUCAUCAAGGACAUCAGCGCUUUACUCUUCAGACUUAUUACAAUGGCAAACUGUGGAUGGCUAUGGAGCAUCAUUUGGUUCAUCAUUCUCAUUAUCUUUGGCUGGCCUAUAGGAUUUCUGUGUGCUAUUUUCUUUGUUAUUCUGAGCCCUUGCUCAGCCUGUUGUGCAGGUUGUAAUGAACUUAUAAAUCUGUUAGAACGGGGUGUCAAAUUACCGCUGACAUGUGCCCAGAACAUGGUGUCAGGAAAGUCUAUGUGUUAAACAACAGCAGGUGUUUUCAUUAUAAUUUAUGUGUAGCCUGUUUAAUUUAGGAUGAGGUAAAAAUUGCAUUUACGUUAAGUCAUAUCUUCUUUAGGGUAAUCAUAUUUUCUUAAACCCCUCCAUUUCUUCUUUCCAAUAUGUAUGAAUGCUUUUGUGUCUUUGACUGAGCUGCUAUGUCCAUGUUUAUGUUUCAACCAUUUAUAACCAGCAAUGAUUUUCCUCAGUUGAAACUCGCCAGAUAUGUAGAAUGUACUACACGUGUGCCUGUAAUGUGAAGUGAGCCCAUGUGAGAAAGACACAUAUAUAGCCUUUUAGCGUUCUUUUAGUUACUUUUCUUAUUAACACUGUGGAUCUUUUCUUAGAAUCAACGACAUGAUUUUUUCAAUUUGAUCUUUAAUACAUUUUCUUGUAUUCAUAUUAAUUUAGAACGCUGUGUUCCUCAAAGGGUGACGAAGUCAAAGCGGUGCUUUAACGAAUUUACAAUGAUAUUCUUCUGAAAAAUUCUAAUCAUACCUGUAUGGAGGGAUGGGUGACUCUGCAAACUAAAGGUUGAUUUUGCCAUAAUUUUUUUUUACCUUGUAGAAAAGUGUCUUACAAAGUACAGGAGUAUCAACCUGUUGGGAAUGCUACUUAUAUAAUUCAAACUCAUUGAGACUGUGCUGGUGAAAAACAUCAGGCAAGUUUACUCAAAUAAUGUUUAACUUUAAUUAUUUCUAAGCUGAAUUCAACUUGAAGACUGAGCUGAUAUUGAAAUUAACUUUUUUAACUGUUAAGGGUUUUUUUUUAUCCAUGUAUCAAAAGUAAUUUCACCACACAUGCGUUCUGGUAAUGCAAAAAAAAAAAAAUCACAAACUUUCAUUGUGCCUUAAAAUUCAUAUCCUAACCGAAAAA